rnacentral:rRNA from 1 species
ACGCUCGACACCUACUGGAGGCAGCAGUGGGGAAUAUUGCACAAUGGGGGAAACCCUGAUGCAGCGACGCCGCGUGGAGGAAGAAGGUCUUCGGAUUGUAAACUCCUGUUGUUGGGAAAAAGAGGAUGGUACCCAACAAGGAAGUGACGGCUAACUACGUGCUAGCAGCCGCGGUAAUCUGAGCGGGCUGGCAAGGCC